rnacentral:rRNA from 1 species
AUGAACGCUGGCGGCGUGCCUAAUACAUGCAAGUCGAGCGAACAGACGAGGAGCUUGCUCCUCUGACGUUAGCGGCGGACGGGUGAGUAACACGUGGAUAACCUACCUAUAAGACUGGGAUAACUUCGGGAAACCGGAGCUAAUACCGGAUAAUAUAUUGAACCGCAUGGUUCAAUAGUGAAAGACGGUUUUGCUGUCACUUAUAGAUGGAUCCGCGCCGCAUUAGCUAGUUAGUAAGGUAACGGCUUACCAAGGCAACGAUGCGUAGCCGACCUGAGAGGGUGAUCGGCCACACUGGAACUGAGACACGGUCCAGACUCCUACGGGAGGCAGCAGUAGGGAAUCUUCCGCAAUGGGCGAAAGCCUGACGGAGCAACGCCGCGUGAGUGAUGAAGGUCUUCGGAUCGUAAAACUCUGUUAUUAGGGAAGAACAAAUGUGUAAGUAACUAUGCACGUCUUGACGGUACCUAAUCAGAAAGCCACGGCUAACUACGUG